GAAGGGACCUAGCGUAGUUCGGAAUUACUGGGCUUAAAGAGUUCGCAGGUGGUUAAAAAAGUUGGUGGUGAAAUCCCAGAGCUUAACUCUGGAACUGCCAUCAAAACUUUUUAGCUAGAGUAUGAUAGAGGAAAGCAGAAUUUCUAGUGUAGAGGUGAAAUUCGUAGAUAUUAGAAAGAAUACCGAUUGCGAAGGCAGCUUUCUGGAUCAUUACUGACACUGAGGAACGAAAGCAUGGGUAGCGAAGAGGAUUAGAUACCCUCGUAGUCCAUGCCGUAAACGAUGUGUGUUAGACGUUGGAAAUUUAUUUUCUGUGUCGCAGCGAAAGCAAUAAACACACCGCCUGGGGAGUACGACCGCAAGGUUAAAACUCAAAUGAAUUGACGGGGACCCGCACAAGUAGUGGAGCAUGUGGUUUAAUUCGAAGAUACGCGCAGAACCUUACCAACACUUGACAUGUUCGUCGCGACUUUAAGAGAUUAAAGUUUUCGGUUCGGCCGGACGAAACACAGGUGCUGCAUGGCUGUCGUCAGCUCGUGUCGUGAGAUGUUGGGUUAAGUCCCGCAACGAGCGCAACCCUUACUUUUAGUUGCCAUCAUUUAGCUUGGCACUCUGAAAGAACUGCCAGUGAUAAGC
rnacentral:rRNA from 1 species